UACGAGGGGGGCGAGCGUUGUUCGGAAUUAUUGGGCGUAAAGGGUGCGUAGGCGGUUUGGUAAGUCUGAUGUGAAAUCUAUGGGCUCAACUCAUAGUCUGCAUCGGAAACUGCCGGGCUUGAGUGUGGGAGAGGUGAGUGGAAUUCCUGGUGUAGCGGUGGAAUGCGCAGAUAUCAGGAGGAACGCCAAUAGCGAAGGCAGCUCGCUGGGACGUUACUGACACUGAGGCGCGAAAGCGUGGGGAGCGAACAGG
rnacentral:rRNA from 1 species